GACGAACGCUGGCGGCGUGCUUAACACAUGCAAGUCGAACGGUAAGGCUCUGCUCUUGUGGGGUGCUCGAGUGGCGAAAGGGUGAGUAUCACGUGAGUAACCUCCCCUUUACUUUGGGAUACCUUCUGUAAACUCGGGCUCUUACCGGAUAUGAGCUCCUUCUACAUGGUGUGUGUUUUAAAGUUGCGGCGGUUGGGCAUGGACUCGCGGCUUAUCAUCUUGUUGGUGGGGUAGUGGCUUACCAAGGCUUUGACGGGUAGCCGGACUGAGAGGGUGACCGGGCACAUUGGGACAGAGAUACGAGCAAGAGUGAAACGGGAGGAAUCAGUGGGAGAUAGUGCGAGAAGGGCGGAGGCCGGAAGCAGGAACGCCGGGUGGGGGAUCACUGCUUGUGGGGUGGAAACCGCGUGAGAGUGUGAAGAAGAGUGAGUGACGGUAAUGGGUAAAGAAGCAACGGCUAACUACGUG
rnacentral:rRNA from 1 species